AGAGUUUGAUCCUGGCUCAGAAUGAACGCUGGCGGCGUGCCUAACACAUGCAAGUCGGAUGUGCCGCAAGGUGCAUGGCAGACGGGUGAGUAACGCGUAGGGAAUCUACCUUUUUGUGGGGAAUAACGCUCCGAAAGGAGUGGUAAUACCGCAUGAGACCGUGGCCUGGGAUGGUUACGGUGAAACCUGGGGACCGCAAGGCCUGGGGCAAAAAGAGGAUCCUGCGUCUGAUUAGCUAGUUGGCGGGGUAAUGGCCCACCAAGGCGACGAUCAGUAGCCGGCCUGAGAGGGUGAUCGGCCACACUGGAACUGAGACACGGUCCAGACUCCUACGGGAGGCAGCAGUGGGGAAUUUUGCGCAAUGGACGAAAGUCUGACGCAGCAACGCCGCGUGGGUGAUGAAGGUCUUCGGACUGUAAAACCCUGUCGUCAGGGACGAAGGUGGCAGUGUUAAUAGCGCUGUUACUUGACGGUACCUGGAGAGGAAGCCCCGGCUAACUCUGUG
rnacentral:rRNA from 1 species